rnacentral:tRNA from 1 species
GGAGAGGUGACCGAGUGGCUGAAGGUGCUCGCCUGCUAAGCGAGUGUGUGGCUUAUACCCGCACCGAGGGUUCGAAUCCCUCCCUCUCCGCCA